rnacentral:lncRNA from 1 species
UUUAGUUGAAGGAAUGAAAUUAGGUUUUGAAAGUUGUUGAAAUUUGGGAGUUUCUGGAAAAUUACGAGUGAUGAUUGAAAAUGACAUUGUUGUGGUUUGGUUGAAGGAGAGAUGAUAGCAGUAUCGAUUUGUGGUACGGAAUGGAAUUGAGAGUAUGAAGAAGAAGAAGAAGUUGAAAGGGGAUUUUAGGGUUUGAAAAUUGGAAAUGGAAGGACACAUGUGAAGUCUGGUAUUUGUUCACUAUGGUUCAUGUUGUACCCCACAUGUUGC